rnacentral:rRNA from 1 species
UGGGGAAUAUUGGACAAUGGGCGGAAGCCUGAUCCAGCCAUGCCGCGUGUGUGAAGAAGGCCUUUUGGUUGUAAAGCACUUUAAGCGAGGAGGAGGCUACUAGUACUAAUACUACUGGAUAGUGGACGUUACUCGCAGAAUAAGCACCGGCUAACUCUGUGCCAGCAGCCGCGGUAAUACAGAGGGUGCGAGCGUUAAUCGGAUUUACUGGGCGUAAAGCGUGCGUAGGCGGCUGAUUAAGUCGGAUGUGAAAUCCCUGGGCUUAACUUAGGAAUUGCAUUCGAUACUGGUCAGCUAGAGUAUGGGAGAGGAUGGUAGAAUUCCAGGUGUAGCGGUGAAAUGCGUAGAGAUCUGGAGGAAUACCGAUGGCGAAGGCAGCCAUCUGGCCUAAUACUGACGCUGAGGUACGAAAGCAUGGGGAGCAAACAGG